GACGAACGCUGGCGGCGUGCUUAACACAUGCAAGUCGAACGGAAAGGCCCUGCUUUUGUGGGGUGCUCGAGUGGCGAACGGGUGCGUAACACGUGAGUAACCUGCCCUUGACUUUGGGAUAACUUCAGGAAACUGGGGCUACUACCGGAUAGGAGCUCCUGCUGCAUUGUGGGGGUUGGAACGUUUCGGCUGGUGGGGAUGGACUCGCGGCUUAUCAGCUUGUUGGUGGGGUAGUGGCUUACCAAGGCUUUGACGGAUAGCCGGCCUGAGAGGGUGGACGGCCACAUUGGGCCUGAGAGACGGCCCAGACUCCUACGGGAGACAGCAGUGGGGAAUAUUGCACAAUGGGCGGAAGCCUGAUGCAGCAACGCCGCGUGCGGGAUGACGGCUUUCGGGUUGUAAACCGCUUUCGCCUGUGACGCAGCGUGAGUGACGGUAAUGGGUAAAGAAGCACCGGCUAACUACGUG
rnacentral:rRNA from 1 species